UACGGGGGGGGCAAGCGUUGUUCGGAAUUACUGGGCGUAAAGGGCUCGUAGGCGCCAACUAAGUCGGACGUGAAAUCCCUCGGCUUAACCGGGGAACUGCGUCCGAUACUGGAUGGCUUGAGUUCGGGAGAGGGAUGCGGAAUUCCAGGUGUAGCGGUGAAAUGCGUAGAUAUCUGGAGGAACACCGGUGGCGAAGGCGGCAUCCUGGACCGACACUGACGCUGAGGAGCGAAAGCCAGGGGAGCAAAGCGGG
rnacentral:rRNA from 1 species